rnacentral:snoRNA from 12 species
GCAGUGAUGACUGCCUUCGAGCAUGUGUUAGACUGCUGACCAGGGUGAUGCCACUCGGAGUCUGAGC